CCUAGAAUCUAGCCCGACACAUCCACUUCUAAUUUACCAUAAUUCCUAAAAUAUUUUUCUAACUAGUAAAGACGAUUGAACAUCAUCUAUAGGAGCUAUAGACCCCAGUACCGCAAGGGAAAAGAUGAAAUAAAUGAAAUAUAUAAGUACUAAAUAGUAGAGAUCAUCCCUCGUACCUUUUGCAUCAUGAUUUAACUAGUCUGCCCAAGCACAAGGAUUUAAAGUUUGACCCCCCGAAACUAAGUGAGCUACUUAAUAGCAGCUAAAGAGCGAACCCGUCUCUGUUGCAAAAGAGUGGGAAGACCAUUAAGUAGAAGUGACAAGCCUAUCGAACUUAGUGAUAGCUGGUUUCUCAAAAAAAGAAUUUUAGUUCAAUCUAAAGUCACCAUAAUACAAACAAAUAAAAUUAUGACUUUAGAGCAACUCGAUCAAGGUACAGCCUGAUUGAUAAAGGAUACAACCUACUAAUGUGGGUAAUGAUUUAUUACUAAAAUAAGUAGGCCCUACAGCAGCCACCUUAAUAAAAUGCGUUAAUGCUUUAUUUAAUAAAUAUCUAAUUUCUAAACUUUCCCAGAACCCCUCUCCCUCACCCCAUUGAGAACUUCUAUAUUAUAUAGAAAAUUUUAUGUUAAAACAAGUAACAAGAAAACACUUCUCUGAAAUACAAGUAAAAUAAAACCAAUUAUUCAGCUAUAUAAAUAAUAGUAACUUUCUCAAGAAAACUCUUUUUAUAACUCUGUUAAUCCAACACUGGCCUAUUUACAGAAAGAUUAAAGGGGAAAGAAGGAACUCGGCAAAUAAAAAUCCCGCCUGUUUACCAAAAACAUCGCCUCUUGCCCAUUAAAAAAUAAGAGGUCCAGCCUGCCCAGUGACUCUGUUCAACGGCCACGGUAUCUUAACCGCGCGAAGGUAGCGUAAUCACUUGUUUUGUAAAUUAAGACCAGUAUGAAUGGCACCACGAGGAUUAAACUGUCUCCUUUCCCUAAUCAGUGAAACUAAUCUCCCUGUUAAAAAGCAGGAAUAUAAAAAUUAGACGAAAAGACCCUGUGGAGCUUUAAACAACAGCUAAGCUUUCCCCGGCAUCUAGCUUCAAGUUUUUAGUUGGGGUGACUAUGGAUUAUAACCAAUCCUCCAUGUUGAGCAUAUUGCACAAUUAAAGAGUGACAACUCUAUAAAUUAAAAAUUUAACACACUGACCCAAUAUCUGAUCAGCGAACCAAGUUACCCCAGGGAUAACAGCGCAAUCCACUUUGAGAGUUCCUAUCGACAAGUGGGCUUACGACCUCGAUGUUGGAUCAGGGUCCCU
rnacentral:rRNA from 1 species